GGGGCAGGCUAGCCGCUAGCGAUGCUAGUCGAGCGGUAGCACAGAGAGCUUGCUCUCGGGUGACGAGCGGCGGACGGGUGAGUAAUGUCUGGGAAACUGCCUGAUGGAGGGGGAUAACUACUGGAAACGGUAGCUAAUACCGCAUAACGUCGCAAGACCAAAGUGGGGGACCUUCGGGCCUCAUGCCAUCAGAUGUGCCCAGAUGGGAUUAGCUAGUAGGUGGGGUAACGGCUCACCUAGGCGACGAUCCCUAGCUGGUCUGAGAGGAUGACCAGCCACACUGGAACUGAGACACGGUCCAGACUCCUACGGGAGGCAGCAGUGGGGAAUAUUGCACAAUGGGCGCAAGCCUGAUGCAGCCAUGCCGCGUGUGUGAAGAAGGCCUUCGGGUUGUAAAGCACUUUCAGCGGGGAGGAAGGCGUUGAGGUUAAUAACCUUAUCGAUUGACGUUACCCGCAGAAGAAGCACCGGCUAACUCCGUGCCAGCAGCCGCGGUAAUACGGAGGGUGCAAGCGUUAAUCGGAAUUACUGGGCGUAAAGCGCACGCAGGCGGUCUGUCAAGUCGGAUGUGAAAUCCCCGGGCUCAACCUGGGAACUGCAUUCGAAACUGGCAGGCUAGAGUCUUGUAGAGGGGGGUAGAAUUCCAGGUGUAGCGGUGAAAUGCGUAGAGAUCUGGAGGAAUACCGGUGGCGAAGGCGGCCCCCUGGACAAAGACUGACGCUCAGGUGCGAAGCGUGGGGAGCAAACAGGAUUAGAUACCCUGGUAGUCCACGCCGUAAACGAUGUCGAUUUGGAGGUUGUGCCCUUGAGGCGUGGCUUCCGGAGCUAACGCGUUAAAUCGACCGCCUGGGGAGUACGGCCGCAAGGUUAAAACUCAAAUGAAUUGACGGGGGCCCGCACAAGCGGUGGAGCAUGUGGUUUAAUUCGAUGCAACGCGAAGAACCUUACCUGGUCUUGACAUCCACAGAACUUACCAGAGAUGGAUUGGUGCCUUCGGGAC
rnacentral:rRNA from 1 species